UAGACUAAUUUGGUAGAUUUGUCGUUGUUUUUCCCCGUUCUGUGCCACGUUUUGUCAUUUGGUAUAUACCCAUAUGCUGAUGAUGUGUAUACAACUGCCACUUGGAGAUCAUUAUAUGAGGAAACUAUUAAUCCAAUAGGUGUUCCUGAAGAUGAAUGGCACGUCCCAGAGGUUGUUGAAUCUGCAAAAGUUUUACCACCUGAAACAAGAAGACAACCUGGUAGACGAAGAAAACGAAGAUAUAAAUCAGCUGAAGACAAGAUAAAAGCAUCACAACAGUCACAAUUAUCAAAAAAGCAUAAGUGCGGCCGUUGUGGUAAAGAAGGUCAUAAUCGAGUAACAUGUGAUGUAGCAAUAUAAGGAUUAUGUUGCAACUGCUCUCAUUGAACGUUUCUAGUUACCACUAUAUGGAUUUUGAACUUCUUUCUCAUUUCAUGAUUAUUUUCGCAUUUUUUA